CGAAGGUCCCAAGCGUUAUUCGGAAUCACGUGGGCGUAAAGGGUGCGUAGGUGGUGAGGAAAGUCAGAUGUGAAAGCCCCGGGCUCAACCUGGGAACUGCAUCCGAUACUCCCUCACUAGAGGAUUGGAGAGGAGUCUGGAAUUCACGGUGUAGCAGUGAAAUGCGUGGAUAUCGUGAGGAACACUCGUGGCGAAAGCGAGACUCUGGACAAUUCCUGACACUGAUGCACGAAGGCCGGGGGAGCGAACAGGAUUAGAUACCCUGGUAGUCCCGGCAGUAAACGGUGCACGUUUGGUAUGGGGGGGCUGGACCCCCUCCGUGCCGGAGCUAACGCGUUAAACGUGCCGCCUGGGAAGUACGGUCGCAAGAUUA
rnacentral:rRNA from 1 species